rnacentral:tRNA from 1 species
AGGAUUAUAUUUAAUUAUAAUAAUUGAUUUGCAAUCAAAAGGUACCAAAGUGUUAAUCUUA